rnacentral:rRNA from 1 species
UGGGGGAUAUUGCACAAUGGAGGAAACUCUGAUGCAGCAACGCCGCGUGAGGGAAGAAGGUUUUCGGAUUGUAAACCUCUGUUUUUAGUGAAGAAACAAAUGACGGUAGCUAAAGAGGAAGCCACGGCUAACUACGUGCCAGCAGCCGCGGUAAUACGUAGGUGGCAAGCGUUGUCCGGAAUUACUGGGUGUAAAGGGUGCGCAGGCGGGAUUGCAAGUUGGAUGUGAAAUGUCGGGGCUUAACCCCGGAACUGCAUCCAAAAACUGAUAUUCUUGAGUGAAGUAGAGGUAGGCGGAAUUCCGAGUGUAGCGGUGAAAUGCGUAGAUAUUAGGAGGAACACCAGUGGCGAAGGCGGUCUACUGGACGAUAACUGACGCUGAGGCGCGAAAGCGUGGGGAGCAAACAGGAUUAGAUACCCUGGUAGU